GUACUCUCCCUUCUAUUUCUCUCCUAUUUAAAGACCUUUCCUUUCUUGUUUCCUUUGAUGUUGCUUUACUUUAGAGUGGAUCUGUUGAAUUACAUGGUGCGCGAUGCUUUUCUGGAUUUAUUUGUGUUCUUGAGGGUUUCUGAAAACCGAAUAAUUUUUAGUUCUUUUAAAUCCAAAAUAUCUAUUUUAAUAUCUACCAGUUCUGUAUUCGUACCCUUUUUUGUGGGUUUCUCUGAUUGUGUGCAAACAUCUUCUCCAAGAACUUCUAUUGAACCAUUAUUUGCUGUUUUUUUGGAAGGAAAAAAAGAGAGCAAAAGAUAUAGCGAAAAAGUUAAAUUUUUUGCUCGGAGUUUGAUAAUCUUUACAGAUUUUUUUUUCUUUCAAAAUUACUCAUCCACAUAAUGCAAUGCUGCAACCUUAUAAAUACAAUGAUUUGUUUUAUUUCUUUUCGCAUUCGAUGCUAUAUUGUUUAAUUGUUAUGAACUAGUGAAAAAUGUGCUGCUGUAUGUGUGUAUUUGGAGAACCAAAGAAACCUUCUUUUUUUUUUUUUUUUCAUUUUACUUUUAAUGGUUUGGUUAGGAGUUCAAGAAUCAUAGAUUGUUAUUGUAUUUUUGACCGGGCAAAAACUGAAAGAGAUGUUGUUUAUAGUUGUUUCCCUCUUGGAGGAGACAUGCCAUGUACUUUUUUCUUCUUCCACUUUUUGGGUUCAUUUUUCCUUUUGAAGCAGUAUUUUUGUAACUCUUAUCUGGGGAAAUUUGUUGUACGAUUUUGUUAAGUUAUAUUAAUAGGGAAGUGAAAUGUAGAGUUCAGUUAUUUACAUUGUAUUAGACAUUUUGGUGUUUGGUCCUGCUAUUUUUGCUUAUGAAGAGCGACAUCAUUCUUCUUGAUGGAGGUACCAGACCCUUGGCCAUCUGCUUCACUGUGUUUUUCUCCUGGCUUUUACUUACUAAUGCUUGAUAAGGAAGUUCUGAUCAUUGCAUUAGUUGUACAUUGGUUUGCUGCUUUUUAAUGUACUUUUUCACUUGCUAAUGUUUGAACUUGUACUGACCCAACUGGGAUUUUGUUUAGUGUGUUCAAUUUAUUUAUUUAUUUUUUUUUUUUUUCAGCCCUUUGUUGUGUUCGCAGGCUUUAGCACAUAGUUUACUCUGCUUUUUAAUGUACUUUCCUAUCCAAGUUUAAUUUCACAAAUUGUAUUCUUGUAUCAGAUUAAUCCAACUGGUACUGUUUUCUGAACUCUGCCGUGGUUUUUGUUACGAGUCUGUUUUCAUUAUGUUACUAGUUCUAAAUCAAAAUAGUGGUCGAUAAAUGUAAGAAAUUUGCCCAGGAAAGGAGAAAUGUAUGUAUGUUAUGUCGGAUUAAAUGUAUUUAUUGUGAGUUUGAGCUAUAAUCCAGUCUUGUUAUAUUUAUUUAUGAUGUCCAUGCUGUGCCAUAUCCUGAAGCCAGAUUAUCUGCUCUGAGUUCUCACCAAUGAUCUCAUCUUGUGCUUUUCAGUUCUUCAUUAAGAAGAUUUUGUUUCCGUUUGUUCUUCUGGUUAUCGUUUCAGUGCAUGAUUCUCUUUUAGUCAUCUAUCUGCAGUCCUGCAUUUUCAAAUUUGUUAGGUGUUCUCACCACUGAUCUCAUGUUGUGCUUUAAAAUGAUUUUUUGCUUUCUUGUUUGAUGCAGGGACCCAAUUACUUUGAGGUUGACCCCGACAUUCAUCGCUUGAGCUACAUAGCAAGGAAGGCACUUGACGCAUUCCGAGAAUACUUUUAUCAGGUAACAAUUCAGAUGUGAAGUGUGUUGAUACUCUUUUGAAGGUGAUGUGUGCUGUUAUGAAGAUGACGUGUCCUACUAUUGAAGCUUGUUCCAUGGAAGUGAAAUUUAUGUUUUUUGAAGUAUGUCUCCCGUGAGGAAAACAUACGGAAACAUCUUUUUAUUUGUUAAGCAUCUUUUUCUUCGUUUUUGAAUCCUAUUGUUGAAAUUUGUAAACAAUGAAGUGAAUUGUGUUUGAACUUUGAAUUAUAUAUCCUAUUUAAUUUAAUCUACUGUUUAAUUUGUUCUCAA